CUCAAAUUCAAACGCAAUUGUCUCUCUCCUUAAACGAUUUGCUUGAACUACUUCAAAAAUCGCAAUUAUAUCUUAAUUUCACGAUGAUUACAAAGAUUUUGAGCUUGAACAUUGCAUUUUCUGGUGCCGGAGCUUCUAUUUUUCCGGCGACUGAACUUCUAAGUUCUGCUUCUGUUCUGUUGGAAUGGAAGCAUGUAAAGAGAACUAAGGACAUAAGAGGGGAAACUGGGAGAUGAAUGCAACUGAAUAAUAAGGUCUGUCAUCGAUUUUUCUUUUCCAAAACCACCUGUUGUGCUGCUUAGAUGAUGUUGUUUGAUCAAGACUGGUGAAAGCAGGGUGAAUUUAAUAUCGGAUUCUCUGCAACAGUGGUUUUCAUUUUUUCAAUUCUGUUUUCUGAUUUGAGAUUUUUUAUUCUAAACUUUCUGGUUGAUUUGUUCAAGGAUUGUUUCUUUUGGUACUUGUGACACUCCCUGCAUCCGAAUUCCCAA